GACAACUGAGUCAGCAUACGGAAAGAGC
rnacentral:sRNA from 1 species